rnacentral:sRNA from 1 species
GAACUUUUAUUUUGGGUAUUGGUUUAGCCACUGGCGCGCCUGAUAUCCAACCGGCGCCCAUGUAAACGGGUCGCCCACCAGAGAAAUCUAAACCCCCGGUCGGCCUCCCGACCGGGGG